rnacentral:lncRNA from 7 species
CAGCUUUACGGAAUAUGGAGUAAUUUGGAACAGCGACUGAUCCUUUCUCAGCUUACCAAUGCAAAAUAAUGCAUUGUUUUAUAUCUAGAUGACCUUGAGAGGAGAAAUUGAGUAGGAAUGGACUGAAACAGAUCUGAAUAUCUCCAAUACAUUGACCUCUAUGAGAUAAUCAAUUGGCACUGAAGUAUUAUAGCAGAAGAACAAGAAAGCUUGUAUCAUAUAGAAGGCAUUAUGUUGGAAAUGAGCAAAUGCAUUUCAUAGAAUCACAGAAUCAGAAUAUCCUGAAUUGGAAGGCACAUACAAGGAGUCCACCAUAUCUAAGUGUUGGUACAAACAGCAGCACCACACAAUCCCAAACCCUGUGUGUGAGAGCAGUGCCCAAACACUCCCUGAGCUCUGGCAGAUUGGGCUGUGCCCACCGCCCUCUGGGCACAGCCUUUCCCUGACACGCUGACCCUCCCCUGACACAGCUCCAUGCUGUUCCCUCAGGCCCUGUCUCUGUCACCAGAGAGCAGAGCUCAGUGCCUUCAUGAAUUCUUUUGUUUGUCUUCUUUAUUCUGAAGAUGGCAUUUUUGUGAAAAGAGCAAUUUGUGUUGCUGCAGUUGUUUGAAAUAAAAGCACAAGUGCUGCAGUUAAGGAUGUGGAUCCAACUUCUGAGAACUCAGCAGGCUUUCUGCAUCACUUGGUAAUAGGCAGCUUCAGCCUCUGCAAGCUGACAAGUCAAAAAACAAGUUACUCCUUUCCAGAGGGAUGGCGCCAAGUUUGAAGAAGGAUUAAUAAAAGAGCACACUGAAGAAUGAGUGCCUAUCCUCACUGGACGAGUUUUCUUCAUUUACCUGCCUGCUUCUGAAGGCAACAGACAUCUUGUCCUUGUUGCAAAGGGGCAGCAACAUUCAAAGAAAGGACAGCAGUGUUCACAAGGUUAAAAAGGGAACCAUCUGACUGGAGGCAGGCAAACAGUCCAUUAUUCCUGCUUCUGAUACCCUAUUAAUAAAGAAUCUUCAAUCACAAGUUAGACUGCCUGAACUAGCAAGGUGCUAAUAACCCCAUCUAUUCUGGAUUGCCUGUUGAAAGACAUCAGCUAUGUUCCCAGAGUGGCACAGAGCUUCAGUACUGAAAGUUCACUUGUAGGAGCAACUACUGGAUGAACAAUUGAUUGGAACAGAAAGCAGGAAGGACAAUAAAGCUUGGAAAGAGGUGAUGCUUAUACCUUGCAGAAACCUGCAAGAAAGGUCCUUUGGAGAAACAGUGAUUAUGUGCAAAGUGGACGUUCAGUGGCAGGAAGAGUUCAUAGAUAAACCUCACUUUUCCAAAGAAAAUGACAGUAAACACAUCUUCACAGUAAUAAACAUUUUAUAUAAACAUGUGUGGAUGGUGAGUCUGACAGGCAAGCAGAUGCCUGUGGUGUGGUCGCAUCCCACAGUGAAACAAAGAAUUGCCUCAGCAGGGUUUCCAAAUUCCUCCUGCCUUUGAGAAGCUGCUAGGUGCCUUUUAGCUGAAGACACUUCAUAUUCUUUAUCUUCUAUCUUCUUUAUCUAAGGAUCCUCCACCAUUAACUCUAUUGAAGAGAGCAGCAGGGCCAUUUUGGAAUCUAAGUUUCUGCUUGGUGAUAAUAGAGAUUUGUCAUGCCUUUUACUUAACUAGACCAUAUUUAAUAUGUUUUUUUUUUUUUUUUUUUUUUUUUUUGUAAACUGAUCAAACUCUCUAUCAUUUUAACUUCAAUUUAAUACCUAAAGUAAGUUGUUUGCUAUCAAAGCUCACUCUCUUUUUGCAGUAUAUGUUCAUGGCUGGUAUAUAAUAGCAUUUCAGUAAAUGUUUUGCCUUCUUGCCAAGUGAAAAUUAUCUCUACAGAAAAUGUUACUCUCCUUUCGGUUGUAAAAGACAUAGCAUUUGAUGUCUUAUUGGUAAUAAACGAAUGAGUUU